GAUGAAAGCAAGCUACAGGCUAACACAUGCAAGUCCAGGGGAAACAGGCAUGAGUGCAUGCAUAUUUGGGACGUCGACCGGCGCACGGGUGAGUAACGCGUAUCCAACCUUCCCACUACUGUGGGAUAACCUGCCGAAAGGCAGACUAAUACCGCAUAAUAUUCGAAGACGGCAUCAGAUUUGAAGUAAAGAUUUAUCGGUAACGGAUGGGGAUGCGUCUGAUUAGCUUGUUGGCGGGGUAACGGCCCACCAAGGCAACGAUCAGUAGGGGUUCUGAGAGGAAGGUCCCCCACAUUGGAACUGAGACACGGUCCAAACUCCUACGGGAGGCAGCAGUGAGGAAUAUUGGUCAAUGGACGGAAGUCUGAACCAGCCAAGUAGCGUGCAGGAUGACGGCCCUAUGGGUUGUAAACUGCUUUUGUAUGGGGAUAAAGUUAGGGACGUGUCCCUAUUUGCAGGUACCAUACGAAUAAGGACCGGCUAAUUCCGUGCCAGCAGCCGCGGUAAUACGGAAGGUCCAGGCGUUAUCCGGAUUUAUUGGGUUUAAAGGGAGCGUAGGCUGGAGAUUAAGUGUGUUGUGAAAUGUAGACGCUCAACGUCUGACUUGCAGCGCAUACUGGUUUCCUUGAGUACGCACAACGUUGGCGGAAUUCGUCGUGUAGCGGUGAAAUGCUUAGAUAUGACGAAGAACUCCGAUUGCGAAGGCAGCUGACGGGAGCGCAACUGACGCUUAAGCUCGAAGGUGCGGGUAUCAAACAGG
rnacentral:rRNA from 1 species